AACGUACGCUGGCGGCAUGCCUAACACAUGCAAGUCGAACGAGACCUUCGGGUCUAGUGGCGCACGGGUGCGUAACGCGUGGGAACCUGCCCUUAGGUUCGGAAUAACUCCCCGAAAGGGGUGCUAAUACCGGAUAAUGUCUUCGGACCAAAGAUUUAUCGCCUUUGGAUGGGCCCGCGUUGGAUUAGCUAGUUGGUAGGGUAAAAGCCUACCAAGGCGACGAUCCAUAGCUGGUCUGAGAGGAUGAUCAGCCACACUGGGACUGAGACACGGCCCAGACUCCUUCGGGAGGCAGGAGUGGGGAAUAUUGGACAAUGGGCGAAAGCCUGAUCCAGCAAUGCCGCGUGAGUGAUGAAGGCCUUAGGGUUGUAAAGCUCUUUUACCCGGGAUGAUAAUGACAGUACCGGGAGAAUAAGCUCCGGCUAACUCCGUG
rnacentral:rRNA from 1 species